CACAUCAGUUCUUAUAACACCAGUACCUAGUAUGCAGUACAUCUUACUUCUGUUUAAAAACACACAUGGCAUCCUUGAUUCAAUUUAUAGUCAUUCGACAAGUAUAGAUUUUUUCGAGAAAAUACUUCAUUAAGGGACUUCUUGAUUUUUCUUAACUGUAUUCGGCUCAGUCUUUAGAUGAAGAUAUCAGCGUUAACAUGUGAGUGCGAUAUAAUAGGAGGUACGCCACUGUGGCGAUGAUGGCAGAGAAAAGGACGAGGCUGGCGGGAAUUAGAAACCAGAGAUUAACGACUGAGGUGUAUGUAUGUGAUUAAUGCGUUGUAAAGCAGGCAGGUGUUCCGAUCUAUCAGUUCACAGAACUGAGCUGAACUGAAAGAUAGCUGGUUGGGCGGGUGCUAAUUUGCCAAUAGAAACAGGAAUCUGUCCCUUCGGAAGAUGAUAAAGGAAAACAACAAGAAGAGUGGGAUGAUAUCUAUAAUGAGGCGGCAAUCGAAAGUGGCGUUGCGGAUAAAUUGUUCAUAUGGGCUUAAAUAAAGAAUAAAAACAAAACAGAAGACGGUGUUGCCGGUUGACCGCCGAAAAAAGCCAUUAUUUUCCGUUAGCUGUACGAUUACGCAUAUAGUUUCUAUAAGACCUUACUUUAUAAUUGUUAUUAUUUUACGAAAUAGUACCGCUAUUGUUACACUUCUAAAAAGAGGGAGCAAAAUACUUAACACCUUAUUCUUCGUGGUCGUUUUGGUCUCCAAGACUUCCAUCAACAUAGCGAAAAGCCUGUUUGACUGAGACUAACCUGAAAAUGACAUCAACAAAAAAACAACUGAAUGUAUUUGCAUAAAUCUGCUUUUAUUACAAAUUAUAUACAUUUAAAACCUACCUAAAUAGAACAUCAAUACGAAGGGCUUGCUUGGUUUUUUUAUGGCAGUUAUUCUCCUCAUUCAGUUGGCGGCUACUUUUUCGCAUACAUCUGCUCGUAUCUCUAAAAUGGCGGCACGGAUAUUUAGUUUAGUUUGUUCAUCGUCGGUGAAUUACCGUAUACCGAGAAUUUCCAGGCAUCCACGAAAGGGAUUUGCACCCUACGAUAAUUGCGAUGUAGGUCGUAAGCAUCAUUGGCUUUUUUUGGCAAAACUGUUGACCUUGUUCGCUAAAAGGAGAUGAUCGCACUCCUUUGUGCAAAUUAUAUCGUUGCAAGACUUAUGGCUUCAACAGGAUAAUUUAUCCCUCCACGUAACUAGCAUCGUCAUCAUUAAUAAAGGAUCGCUUAAGUGAGCGGCUGAUGUCGAACGUAUCCUAGGUAAUGUGGCCUAACUUUGCUCGAUAGUUUGUAUAGGGGUACUUAACAUGCAACGUGUGCUACAACAAUUCACGGAUUGGGGACAAAUUUAAGGAAAGUAUUUAAGAAAAAGAUAGAUGUAUACGACAAAAUAGACUAAAACUGGAUGAAGCGAAUAACUGCAAUGACAAAAGCCAUGGAAGACGUCGUUAUUGAUGUUGUAUUUAAGUAAAAUUUUGACCAUAUGAAGCAUUUCAUGAAAUAUAUUAGGUUAUUCCUAUCGGCCUCACUUCGAAGUUGUCCGUGACCAGAUGGCCCUUCUUGUACUAGGUGAAUGCGUAGCUUUCAAUUUCUGGUAGUUGCAAUCUGCAUUCUUAAAUCAGACUCAUCUCUGGUUUCGUUGCAAGCAGGGCUCUUAUUUAGACUGGGUCUUCUACUCGCUCUCCACAGUUGACGGCAAUGGCUAAUUAGUGUCUACGGUAAAAAGUGAAAAGUUGCAUAGUCUGCGUAAAAUAUAAGGAACCACGUACAUACAUAUAAUCGAAUAAUGAGUUAUGCCUAAGAAAAGCCUUUCAGUCUUUAAUUGGAUAUAGAAGUGUUACCAUGCUAAGUGGUCAUUGGGACAGUCACUGAAAUAUCAACGUCCAUUCACUCUAAUUAUCAGUCUAACUUAUUUAUUCUAUUUUGCCCUAUUUGAUAAAUCUGCCUAGUCAAAUAUCAACCUAGUCAUAGGACACUUUAUGUGGUUAAUUGCUGUAGACCUAAUAACGCUGAUGUUUCUUAUACGAUGAACACGUGAUUUAAAAAUGCGAACCACGCUGGGGGGCAUGCCAGGCCUCGCAGGUCGUUAUUUCCUGCGCUGAUACUUCAGCUCCAAUCUAAACAUUGGUUAAUGAUACGUAGGAUACAGACCAAGCGGACGAAGAAGUCAAUUAUAUUAUGUCAUCAUCUAUGUUAAAUCCGAGCAUCCUAAUCCUACUGGUAGCAUUUAUGUACUCGAAUGUUACAUUACACAUUCAACUUGUGCUGUUAUUGUUUCGAAAGGGAGACAGCAACAGCCCCAAGGAGUGUCAUGGCUUCCUCCUUAUUUAGCACACCAAUAUUAUUGUAUUCCCAUAGAAAGAGAUAUGUGGAUUCAUAGUAAAAUUUGCUCUUCUCACUCAGGGGUGCCAAAUCAAUACUUUCAAGUAUUUCAUCUAAAUGUAAUUAGGCCACUGGCGUAUGAAACGUAGUAUUACAAACGGCACCAAAUCCAUUGAAUUGGUCCUGGAACCUCAGUUGGUGCACAAAGGUUAUUCACAAAUUUAGAGUUUGUCACAAUUAUACUUUUAUCAGUAUAACUGCAAUUGGAUUAGUUAAAACAUUCUAAUUGUAGCUAUCCCUUUAACAGGACACACCUGUCCGAAAAUGAGCAAUACAAGCGUAUAUACAUUGAUACAUAUGCAACUGCUGUGAACAUUUUAGGAGACAAACCAAGAGGUAAAACUGUGGUAUUACUUUGUAUGACUUUAGUUUUGUCAGUGCUUUGUUUCUAAGACUGUAUCUAAACGAGAACAGAUAUUUCAAAGAUUUCUUUUGCCUGCAUGCAUGCGCCACUCACUAAUCAUCGUCAAAAUAUUCUUUCUUUAAUUCGUAAAGAUUUAUAUAUAUGACGGUAAAUAGUGGCGCCGUUUUUUAAAUAGUUCCCCCUAAUGCUGCACAAUAUUCGAAAGCUCUCAGCCUCCUUCAUCAGUCUGUAUCAUUUGAGUUAAAAGGUAAACGCAAAAUACAAUACAAAUAAAACCACAAAAAUGAACUUCCAGGUCAAUAAAUGAACUUUCGAGAUAAAACUGUGACAUCCACAUUAGUUCUCGUUCUUUUCAUAUAGAAGCUUUAAAGCACUUAGUGAGAUCUCUGAUCUCUAAUGUGUGUUGUGCGAUUUCUAAUCUGAUAAUGUAUCGAAGAGGUAUGGUAAAACCUCAAGACAAUCGUGUAUUCAUUGUAUCACUUAUUAUAUAGCAAUCGGAUGGACUCCAUCUGUAAUGGGCCACCGUGCAGCCGAGGAGAUAAAUAAAAACUAUCCAACGUGACCUAGACGAUAACUAAGCCUUUAGGCUGAAACCAAGGUGCAAAUUUGUCUAGCUGUGAUUCAACAGUGUUGGUUCCCAGUAGAAAAGUCAACGUUGUAUGCCGACACCCUCGUCUUACUCUGCGAUUUUAGAUUUAUGGAGAACACAAUGAAUGAGCAACCUUUACGAGUGGUAAGGAGAAAGCAGAUAAAUCGGAUGGAAUUGUCACGGUGAUCUACGAGAUACAAAAUGGCUAUACUUCUCGAGAGGGUGACGGGUCUUGAAUCUCUGUCCGUCGAUGCUGACAGCGCCAAGCCUAGAGUAUACGACUUAAUAGCCGCUGCUAACCGAGAAUAUAUUAACGGAAGUGCGUUUACUUUCGUACUCCUUUGAUGCUUGACAUCGAUAGCUUAAAGACCCGCUCUAUAUAUCUGGCUAUAAGAUAUUUUCCUUUUUGUUAGCAGUUCGUACAUCUUCGUCUGAUAAUUCGAUAUCGUAAAACCGCAACUCUACACUUGAGGAGAUUUCCAAAUUUAUAAGAUAAAGGGAGCUUCGUUUCUUACAAAACUUUUGAGGAAAAGAAGUUUUGCAAUCUUUUACUAAUUUAUACGAAUUUUCUCAAAAGAAGAGUGAAUAAAAACUGUACUUUUCAAUCUAUCUAAGCCCAAUGAAUGUCAUACCAUUGUGCAUCAAUGAUUUUCUAUGAAGUUGUCAAUUUCUUACACCUAUAUUAAAAAUUUACAUAUAGUUACAGUAUAAUACCUAUGGUGAUCAUGUUUAGCAAGUCCAGUCUCUAGAUCCAUUUCGCAGUCAAAAAACAAAACACAGGUUGUCUAUGCACCCGUAGUUUAGCCUAGUUUUCUGUCUUUUUCCUAGCAAAUGAUUAAAGGGAAAAUAAAAUGAACCCGUAUGAAACUGCGCGCACGGAGAAGACAGCCAUUCAUUGAUAUACUGAUUGCUAUGCAUUUGAUAGGGAAGCAAAUCUCCGAGCAGAGAAUGAGAAAAUGGGUCGCCACUUUUAUGUUUGCAGUUAGUAGUUUACUGCUUCUAUUUCUACUUCUAUACUUCUAGUUUACUGCUUCAUGACUGAAUAGAACUACAAAUCGCGUUGAUUAAGUAGCGAUUUUUUCGAUUUUUAUGUCGACUCUUCCUGCACGGGUACGACACGAUUAAAUGGAGUAUUGCUUGAAUUCUCGAUUAACUCGGCACUUACUUUUUCGGAGGUACAAGCGAAGGUACAUGAGGAGUUAUAUCUUAUCUUCGGUGAAGGUCGCAAGUCAUGUGCCAUUUUCGAAGAUUUGAAGGAACAGCGCUAUUUUAAACGCGUAUUCAGAGAGUACGUCUUUGUUUUAUCUAUAAAUCGUCGCUGUACAGUCGACGGUGUUAAGUUUGGUGUGUUACCCGUAAGCCAAUAUCAAGAUCAAGUCAUCACUAUAACCCGAAAUCAUUAAUGAUGUUACUGUACACACUGUUUUUCUCGUAGGGCUUCCUAGAUUCGAAGAUGUUACGCGGCUGAUCUAGAACAUGGCCUUAACAAACUAAAAUUGACCCCAUUCCUUUAAAUGGAACCUUUAAAACCAAUAACUUUUAAACCUUUUAUAAACAAUUAGUGUUUUUCUCGGGAUUCAACGAUUUCACUUGCUUUGCAUCUUCUCCACCGAGGCGCGGCUGUGUAUCUGUUUUGAGGCCAACAAUCUUGUACCAAAAAUGUUCAUCAACGUCACCUGUAUGUAUUCAUGCCAUUCUCAACUCAACAACGCAAUUGUUGUGUUGGCUAGAAAUUCGCGAGAAGUCAAGAUGGCACUUGUCAACUUGCUUUGCUUGUGCCGCGCAGAUAGCUGAAGACCUUUCGAGAACCUAUACCUCGCCGACAAACUUCUCUUGCGCGUCAGAAACGACCUCCACAAAGACUUUGAGCUGCGUUAGGUGAUCACAAAAUAAUUUUAGCGAUUUCCAUUAGCUAUGUGGUAUGCCGUUUCUUAAUUUUUAUCUUUUUCUCAAUUCCGCUUUGUCGCACAGUGUUAAGCAUUUUCGUGCUACGCAUGUCAAAGGAGUUUUCUAAAAUUACCGUGUAUUACGUGCCUAUGUGAAUUAAGGCGAUCUCAUCCAUUCGUUUGGCCCGCAUGAAAAAUGCUGUAGAGAUUGUCUACAACUCUGCUAAAACAACCAAGCUAUAACAACAGCAACAUAAACCAUGAAAAGUGGGUGGUGUGAAACUAACAAUAUUCGGGCUUCAAUAAGGCAUAACCUUACCUCCGUUAGGGUAGCACUUCGUUGAUGCAUCCCCCGUCCCAUUUCCCCCGUUGUACGGCAGUUCGUUUUCCGUACAAACUCGUCCUGUCGCCCCUUUUGCAUCAAACGUGUUUCCACAGACAGUAGUCGUCCGCGGCCAAGCCCCAAUCCGCUGUGGAGGUCGCCACCGAUGCCACCCGUUGCAACAAGAAUAAACUGCCUCUUUCGGCGAUCUCAGCAGCGAGUCCCCAGUCCCGUAUUUUGAGGACCCCGCACGAAGCUUGGAAACAAGACAUCGCAUAAUAGCUGAUCUACGUUCCAGUUGCGAAAACGAACCAUUUGAAUUUUGAAACUGUUUUCCGCGGUAGCGAUUUCGCUGUUUUGUUCUAAAAAAAAACUGCCUUUCUUCUAGUGCCACAAAGUAGCAGGUGAAUUGACGCCUGCUUUAAUAAAAAACUUGACUAAGUUGGUCCGUAUUUAUAUGCGUUACCUUCAAUAUAUAUGACGUGCGUACGCCUAUCCAUUUUUCUUAAUAUAUUAAGUACUGCCUCUUCAUCCGGCAUCUAAAAAAAAAAAAAAAAUAUAUAUAUAUAUAUAUGGUGGAACCAAGGUCACUUAACACUUAAAAAGACUUGAUUUUACGUGAGAGUGACAUUGGAAUACAGUACGAUAGAAAUGAGAAUGAAAAAGAGGUAAGUAAAAACUAUCAAAUUGUCAAGUGACUUUUGCCUCACCUAUCUAAAUAUAGCUAUAUAUAUGAAAGCGCAUUAUUCGAACACAAAAACAAUUUUUUUUGCCCUUCUUCAAGAUCGUAAAUUUAUUCAGUUUCAUGACUAUGCCGAAAAUCAGUUGUCAUUAUUUUCCAAACUCAUAGAACAGCCUAGGCCUUUUUCGGAGCCAAUUUACCAUUCGUAGUUUAUUGUUUCGACUGUGCCUUGUUCUCGGUAGCAAAAAGCCCUGUAAAUACAAUCCACCUCUGUCUUACUUUACGUACUCGUAUUGCCUUUACUAAAAUUUAGUGACGCCACGAUAUUAUGCAUUUUUCAUUUUUGCAAAAAUACCAACACCGAAUGAUGGACUCAUUCAUUUGCCCGCAGGUAAAUUAAAACUUAGUCUGAUAAUGUCAAGCACGGUAAUACCCGUUAAACAUAUGUACAAUUUAAUAUCCACUAGACAUAACACAACCCGAUAAAACCACCUCAACGAGUUUAUGAUAUAGUAGAGAAGUUUUAGCAUAAAUAUUUUUAAUGUCGAUCCGCUUAAGGGUAGGUUAGUUGUACAAGCACAUACCUUUACAUGCAACCACGAACUUUAUGAUUAAAUGUGUAUUAGUUAUUAGAAUAUAUUCUAUGAAAUAAAACCAGGGAGAGGGAGCACGAAAAUACAACACGAGGUGAGGGAAAGUAAGCUUAGCAACAGUUUUAGUGGGUCCAUUUGUUUCCUAGCUUUAAAGCCAAGAAAAAAAAACCUUAAAGUAAGAGAACGACGAAUAAAUUGUGCUAACCUGGACAUGGGCAUAAGUUACUUUAAAAUUUUGGCAAGAAUAAUGGAAUGCCACCCUCCGGCCCACACCUAUAUUCGCAGUAAAGAGCAUUAUCUUGGUUAUUAAAAAUGAUUUAAACGGCACAGAGCUAAUUUGCUUUCUCAUACAUCUCCUUAUUGAACACGGACCCUUCCCGUGUAACGUGUCACGUUGUAAAUAACGUAUAGGAGAAGCUCCUUUGAUCACUUGGGUGUUAUACCCAAAGAGCAAAGGAGACGGCGCCCCACAUAAAAAACAAUGUGCUACGCUCGAGUAUAUCCGCUAUAAACGUUAACAUCCAAAUACUCUUAACAGAGGAAAUAAAAAGGUUGCACACUUUUGUGCACAUUUAGAAAGGACUGCGAAGCAGAAACAAACUGGCUGGAAAGGUCGUAGUAAAAAUAGGCAAUUCAAGGGAAGGGCGGCAAGAUCACCAUAGACAGAAACAGCUUAGGUAGACGAUUCAAGGAACCAAAAACAAAUGUUUCGAAAACAGGUAUUCUUAUUGUGAGCCAAAUCUAUAUCAAAUUUAACAGAUCCUGUUGUAGUUUAUAAUAUGUAUUUGCAAUCAAUUUUACUGUCCCUGUUAAAUUCUACUAUCAUAUUAGGCAGAACU
rnacentral:lncRNA from 1 species